CAGUAAGGAAUAUUGGACAAUGGGCGGAAGCCUGAUCCAGCCAUGCCGCGUGAAGGACGAAGGCGCUCAGCGUUGUAAACUUCUUUUGGAUGGGAACAAUAACCGAGACUUGUCUUGGCUUGAGGGUACCAUCAGAAUAAGCACCGGCUAACUCCGUGCCAGCAGCCGCGGUAAUACGGAGGGUGCAAGCGUUAUCCGGAAUCACUGGGUUUAAAGGGUGCGCAGGCGGUCUGAUAAGUCAGUCGUGAAAUCGCUGGGCUCAACCCAUGCAAUUGCGAUUGAUACUGCCAGACUUGAAUGGGGUUGAGGCUGGCGGAAUGCGGCAUGUAGCGGUGAAAUGCUUAGAUAUGCCGCAGAACACCGAUUGCGAAGGCAGCCAGCUGGGCCUUUAUUGACGCUGAGGCACGAAAGCGUGGGGAGCAAACAGGAUUAGA
rnacentral:rRNA from 1 species